rnacentral:rRNA from 1 species
GAGUUUGUCGGUUGGUCGGGCUUCAUUGUCCGCACUGACCUGAUGGAUUCCUACCUUCUGAAUAACCAGCAUGCUAUUAAGUUAGUGCGUUGGGGAAGCAGAGCUAUUACCUUGAAAAAAUUAGAGUGCUUAAAGCAGGCUUAUGCUUGAAUAGAUUAGCAUGGAAUAAUAAAAUAGGACGGCAUGGUUCUAUUUUGUUGGUUUCUAGGAUCACCGUAAUGA